rnacentral:rRNA from 1 species
GACGUAGGAGGCGAGCGUUGUCCGGAUUCAUUGGGCGUAAAGAGCACGCAGGCGGUUUGGCAAGUCGGAUGUGAAAAACCCGAAGCUCAACUUCGGGCCUGCAUCCGAAAACUGCCCCGACUAGAGGUAGGUAGGGGGAGAUCGGAAUUCCUGGUGUAGCGGUGAAAUGCGCAGAUAUCAGGAGGAACACCGGUGGCGAAGGCGGAUCUCUGGGCCUUUACCUGACGCUCAGGUGCGAAAAGCUAGGGGGAGCGAACAGG